CUCUCUCUCUCUCCCCUGCGCAGCUGCCUCUCCUUCAAUCCAUUGUCACAGUAGCCCGGUACCAAUCCACACAAGGCCAAGCCUCUCUCUGUGCCAUCACUGUUGCUUCGAUGAACCAAUUCUCUAAACCUCCAUAGCUUCGAGAACCCAGUAGAGUUACUAUUCUUCCAAAGCUCCAGUGAAGCUUCAAGCUCGUCCGAUUCCAACGCUGUCAACAAAUCCCCAAAAUCCCCUUUGUCCUCCUCUUUCUGGAAUGGAGGAUGUUUUGGCGAGCUAUGUGUUUGGGAAGAAGAAGACAACAGAAGUUGCUCACUUGAGUAUUCAUUAAUUCAUUGCAUAGUAUGGCCAGAGAAUACUCUCAAAACAUGGAUGCCAAUGAAGAUUUGAGUCCUAGAUUUGGUAUGGAAUUCGAUACAUUAGUAGAUGCAUGAGAAUUUUGGCUAAAAUAUGGAAGGCAAAUGGGCUUUGAUAUUAGAAAACAUUACAUAAAUAUAAGUAAGAAGGAUGGAAAGAAAACAUCAAGGGAAUUUGUAUGUGCAAAGUAGGGCAUUCAAGGUUCAGAAAAAGAAGAUAUGAUUCGCACUCGUAACCAAGAUGAUACAAGGACUAAUUGUCCUGUAAAGCUAUAUUUUUCAUUAGUGCAAGAAACUAGAAAGUAUAAAGUGACUGAUUUUAUUGAAGAACAUAAUCACACUCUUCAUCUAUCAGAAACAGUUUAUAUGAUAAGAUCUCAACGAAAAAUCUCAGAAGUUCAUGCAGGAUUGAUUGAGUUAGCAUCCUCUUCUGGAAUCAAGCCAAAAGCAGCACAUGAGUUAAUGAGUAGAGAAGCUAGUGGGAGAGCUAAUCUUGGAUUCACUGAGCUUGAUCAGUAUAGUUAUCUUAGAACAAGACGGCAAAAAAUAUGAUAUAUGGUCAAGCUGCAUGCUUAUUAGGAUACUUUCAAGAACAAUUGAUUACAAAUCCAUCCUUUCAAUAUGCAGUACAAUUAGAUAA